UACCAAAUUACCUGGAAGUGUGCUCCUCAC
rnacentral:piRNA from 1 species